rnacentral:rRNA from 1 species
UUAAAUUGAAGAGUUUGAUCAUGGCUCAGAUUGAACGCUGGCGGCAGGCCUAACACAUGCAAGUCGAACGGUAACAGAAAGAAGCUUGCUUCUUUGCUGACGAGUGGCGGACGGGUGAGUAAUG